rnacentral:rRNA from 1 species
GACGAACGCUGGCGGCGCGCCUAACACAUGCAAGUCGAACGGAGCUGAGAGAAGCUUGCUUUUCUUAGCUUAGUGGCGAACGGGUGAGUAACGCGUGAGUAACCUGCCCUGGAGUGGGGGACAACAGUUGGAAACGACUGCUAAUACCGCAUAAGCCCACGAUCCGGCAUCGGAUUGAGGGAAAAGGAUUUAUUCGCUUCAGGAUGGACUCGCGUCCAAUUAGCUAGUUGGUGAGGUAACGGCCCACCAAGGCGACGAUUGGUAGCCGGACUGAGAGGUUGAACGGCCACAUUGGGACUGAGACACGGCCCAGACUCCUACGGGAGGCAGCAGUGGGGGAUAUUGCACAAUGGGGGAAACCCUGAUGCAGCGACGCCGCGUGGAGGAAGGAGGUUUUCGGAUUGUAAACUCCUGUCGUUAGGGACGAUAAUGACGGUACCUAACAAGAAAGCACCGGCUAACUACGUG